rnacentral:rRNA from 1 species
UCUCCCAGGCCUUGCAGAGAGCGACCGAGCCGCCCUCCCCCCACCGCCCCGCUCCCACCACCGGAAUAAACCGCGCCUCGCCGGCCGACCUCUCCUCCUCGACCGCCUAGCCGCUUGCUGUUUGUUUCUUUUGCGCAGGCCCCGUGCAACCGUCCCGUACCCGCGAGGAGAGGGAGGCAGAAGCCAUGGAGAUGAAGAAGAUCGCCUGCGCCGUGCUGAUCGCCCUGGUGGCCUCCGCCUCCCUGGUCGCGGCGACCGCCCCGGCCACCGAGGCGCCGGCCGAGUCCCCCGGCGCGGCCGCCGGCGCCACCGCCGGAGCGGCCGGAGCGACCGCCCCGGCCACCAGCGGCGCCUUCGCCGGCGCGCCCGGCGCCGCCGCGCUCCUCGUCUCCCUCGUCGCCUACUACCUGCACUGAGACGGGCCGGAGCUCGCGCUCCCACGUUCCCACGCGGCGCCACGCAGACGCGUCGGUUGAUUCAAUUUAAUUUAAUUCCAAUUCACCGAUCAACUAAUGACCACUCUAUGAUGAUUACACCACACAUUAUCUAUCGGUACUAUGUAACUGCGCUUGUAAUUCUUCUUUUCGGCCCGUUUGGUAAACUCAACCCAAUCCGCGUCUGUAACCCGUGGCUAAUGGCGCCGUGUUA